rnacentral:rRNA from 1 species
CCUACGGGGCGCUGCAGUGAGGAAUAUUGGUCAAUGGGCGCGAGCCUGAACCAGCCAAGUCGCGUGAGGGAAGACGGUCCUAUGGAUUGUAAACCUCUUUUGUCGGGGAGCAAAAGACGCCACGCGUGGCGUUCCGAGAGUACCCGAAGAAAAAGCAUCGGCUAACUCCGUGCCAGCAGCCGCGGUAAUACGGAGGAUGCGAGCGUUAUCCGGAUUUAUUGGGUUUAAAGGGUGCGCAGGCGGAAGAUCAAGUCAGCGGUAAAAUUGAGAGGCUCAACCUCUUCGAGCCGUUGAAACUGGCGCGCUUGAGUGGAAGAGAAGUAUGCGGAAUGCGGGGGGUAGCGGUGAAAUGCAUAGAUAUCACGCAGAACCCCGAUUGCGAAGGCAGCAUGCCGGCUUCCGACUGACGCUGAAGCACGAAAGCGUGGGGAUCGAACAGGAUUAGAUACCCUUGUAGUC